AGGACAAAGCGUUAACAUGAUUUGAUUUUUUAUGAAAGAGAGCUGCACAGUGGCAAAUGAGAAACAACAAUGAGAUGCAUGCUCAAUGCAGGAAAGAGGCAAAUGCUCGCCGCAGCACUCGACGACAGUUGUCAGCAACUGCAACUGCAACAGCAACAGCAACAGCAACAUCAGCGACAGCAACUAGUUGCUGGCGUGACAAAGCAACUGUUGCUGUUGUUGCUGCUGCUGCUGCUGGCAGUUGAGCAUGCAAAGGCAACAACAGCAACAGCAA